rnacentral:rRNA from 1 species
UACAGAGGUCUCAAGCGUUGUUCGGAUUCAUUGGGCGUAAAGGGUGCGUAGGCGGCGCGGUAAGUCGGGUGUGAAAUCUUGGAGCUUAACUCCGAAACUGCAUUCGAUACUGCCGUGCUUGAGGACUGGAGAGGAGACUGGAAUUUACGGUGUAGCGGUGAAAUGCGUAGAUGUCGUAAGGAAGACCAGUGGCGAAGGCGGGUCUCUGGACAGUUCCUGACGCUGAAGCACGAAGGCCAGGGGAGCAAACGGG